GGAGCGGUAGUUCAGUUGGUUAGAAUAUCGGCCUGUCACGCCGGGGGUCGCGGGUUCGAGUCCCGUCCGCUCCGCCA
rnacentral:tRNA from 3 species